rnacentral:misc_RNA from 1 species
GGGAAAGGGGAGAAAAAAAAGUCAAACACCUUGUUUAAAGAAAUGGCAGUACUAAAAACUUCUUCUCCUGGUUCGGCUUCCUCCCAUAACAAAAUUAUUAAUAGAGAUUGGAAUUUGAUUGUGUUUAAAUGCGAGAAGCAACAUCGAUCUCUGUGACCAUUUCAACUGCCCUCCUUGGGCAGUGCUCUCUUCUAACAUUUUAAAGC